GGUUUCUGGCUAAGGACCAGAUCUGGGCCGGUUAGACUUUUCAGCUUUAACUGCAGUGCUGUUUUUCUUACGAUCAGCAGAUAUGGCCCAGAUCCACUUACCACAUCGGAACCAAAGCUUCCUCAAAGACAGUUCACUGAUGUGGCCCACAUCUGUAAUACGGACCUAGACCACCUUCAAACUAUUCAACGAGGCCAAUCACAGCCAAAUAGCUUACAAACAAAACUUAUAACUGAUCCUCGUUUAUUUCCAGAUAAUCUGGUAAAAAAAUCACCCUAGAUAUGAUUUCAAAAUCAUAUCCAGCUAACAUUUUUGGGGGGUGCAAGGAAAGUUUUUGUUGUUGUUGUUUUUAUUGUUGUUGUUGUUGUUGUUGGUUUGUUUGGGCAGCAAUUUUCCAUGAAAAGGCCACCUGCUUGCUGAUCGCACGCCUACCUGGACUAUUGACAACUAGGCAACUGCUUUACAAAUAGAAUACAUCCUUAAAAAUAUAUACAGCAUAUAAGGUCCAUAUAAGGCCACAUCCGCCUGACAGUCUACCUCCGUUUUGGCUACGGGCACCGGACCCGUUCCGCCUCGCCAGCGCGCCUUCAUUCACCGGGUCCGCGACGGACCCUGUACGGAUGCGUACACCGAACGCGCCCUAACGGUUUAUUUCAUCAGUUUUUUCGCUGAUGGAGUGCUGCCGAGUGUGAGACAAAACGGUGGCGUCUGAAGGCUCACUGUAAGUAUGCUCCUAUAUGCUUUAUUUAUGCAAUUACCUAGUCUAUCCAGUGAAAACGUACUUCCAUAACACAAGUUACCUACUUAUCUAGCUUUGUUUGCUGAUGUAAUCCGAAAAUGUGCUAUAAUGGCCGGCUGAUGGUAGCUCACAUUUACAUACCAGCUAGCAGCUAGCUGCUAACGUGUAGCUUGCGCAAGCUAAUUUAGCUCACUUAGUCCUGUCCAACUUUAUGAACUUUUUUAGAAAUGUAUAAUUAACUCAAUACUGAAUUUAAAAUGAGCGCAACUUGAUUUGACGGUAACCUUAUGUGUUUGCCCGUGAACAACAAAAGUUGCCUUGCGUGAGCUAGCAUUAGCAGGCUAGCUUGUUGACCAACGAUAACUUAAAGUUGUUACACAAACAUAAUAGUUUUUUGUUAACGUUAUGAAAGCUUAGAUGUUGGACUCGGGAGUCUUAUCUCCCGAGAGAAAACUUAAGCUAUUUCGUAUGUGUUUAAACCUCAUUUCAUUCUGGGAGGGAGGCUGAUUUCACAUUGUUUCCCUGUCCUGAUUUGAAAUGCUGAUUUUAAAUUAUGAACGACGUUAGCGGCUGGUUCCAAAACGUAAACCUAUGCGCCCUGUCACCCUCAUGCUCAGACAUUGUUGACACUUUUAGAAGGCAGGAACAGAACAGCUUCGGGAUUCAUGCCCUUAUAUUUUGUACACGUUAGUGAGAAACCAACUAACUGUCCUACUAUUCAAUCUAAAUAGUAGAGAUUCCUCCCUAACUUUUAUUAAGUAAAAAUUCCGAAGCCAUUUGUUUAAUGCAGAAAUACUGCCGUCUACGAGUUCAUUUAAUGAUGUUGAAAGUUUGUUGGAGUAAGAUUUGACUGAAAAGGGACAAUUAGAAGAGGCAGUAGUUGACUUGAUGUAUAUCCUUGCUUUGCCUUGUCACGGACCAGACUGUUUUCAAUGUUUAGAAUGGGGUGUAAUAUUAAGUAUUGAUAAAUAUUUGCCUAUUUCUUUCUGAUGAUGAGAGUAAUGCAUAUUUAUGUAUCUGUAUUACAGGUCAUUCACAAGUCUGGUUUGGGGGUCUACCCUUGCUCAUCCUGUCCUGCCACCCAAGUAAAAAGAGAAAUAACCACAGGCUCUGCAACUGCUGUUUCCAGGUCAUUCACAAGUCUGGUUUGGGGGUCUACCCUUGCUUAUCCUGUCCUGCCACCCAAGUAAAAAGAGAAAUAACUACAGGCCUCUGUAACUGCUGUUUCCAGGUCAUUGUCACAAGUCACAAGUGGCUCCGGUCUGGUUUGGGGGUCUACCCUAGCUCAUCCUGUCCUGCCACCCACACAAAAAGAGAAAUAACUACAGGCCUCUGCAACUGCUGUCUCUAGGAACGGUACGCAAGUGUCCAGUGACAGCCCAGGCAACGGAUACCGUAGCGACAUUCACCAAUGUGCUGCAUGGCGCAUGACCGAGAAGGGGGGACGUCGCAAACGCCAGUGUGAAGGAGCAAGCUAGAUUCAUUGAUGAUCAUCAUGUUUUGAAUAAAGUUUUUUUGGAAAAAAAAGUAAACAUUUUCUUCGAUUCUGAUUAGGGUUAUUGGGGUAUUGGACUAUGUUAGUCGCUGGGUAAUUUUCUUAGCCUUGUUUUAAAGACACCAAGCGAGAAUGUU